rnacentral:sRNA from 1 species
AAGAAAGUGACUGCCGCCCCGCACAGGGGCGAGCUAACAGACCAAUAAGAAAUCAAGCUUCACAGAAGCCGAGGCGCAUCAAACGGUGUAGAGGCGCGAGCCCAAAGCGCCACCGCGAGGAAAGC